rnacentral:lncRNA from 1 species
AUAAACCCCACUCGGGAGAUGGAGCUGCACCUGCUAUUUCUUAAAAUGACACCACCAACAACCAAACCUGUCAUGACAGACAGCAAAUGUUUACACGUAUAUUUCUCCUGAGUGAACCUGAUGUUUUACAAUAGGUAAUAAUAAAAACAGUCUGUGCAGAUGCACUGGCACUGACGGCCAGGAUGGCGGAAAUGGCCAUCCCCUCUGAGGACCUUGUAGGCGGUGAGGGACCCAUGCUGGGCCAGAAGGAAGACAAACAUGGUAAUUGCAGCUGUUCUUGGGGUAGGGCGGGGAGCCCAGAAGGUCUGAUCUGGCCUCUGCUUUUUGGCCCAAGACUCCAUCAGGGAAAUCUAUCUAGGGCUCUCCCCUUGUCCUUUCAAAGGGAUACUGCCCCUUCCUCGUCUUGCAGAGGAAACCCUGGCUAGGAACUGAGCUAGUUUAUGGAGUCUGGAAUUCCUGGAGAGCUUGGGUUCACCUUCUCACCCCUGUAAUCCAGGCUGCUCCUGCUGGAAAAGUAGAAACAGAAUCCAAAAAAGGUCUGGACUCACCCGGUGGUUCCCAGCCAGGGUUUCUGCUGCAAGGUGAGGAAACAUCCAUGGCUUGUACAGAUGUGAGUCUUUGAUGAAGCCCCCAGGCAGGCACCAAGGUGAUGGGACUCAGGGCCUUGGCUUUUAGAUACAUCCCAGUCCCUGACUGACAUCUGACCAUGAGGGCUGGAUGGGUGGGAACAAGGAGGAGUAGAUGGCAAAAGUACCUGAGCCCACUUCCCAGCCACAGGGUGACCCUGGCACUGUAAAAACCCUUUGUCAGUCAUGCCAGAAGGUUCUAGAACUGCCCACCUCUUCCAUUUCAGUCCUGCUGAAACCCCUUAGCCUAUUUCCGACUCCUCUGUCCAUGCUCUGAGUUCAGCUGGGCAGUGUGUGGGCUAUCACCCCUUUCAUUUAGACCUACCUAGCUGGCCCCCAUCUGCAGAGCCUUCCUUAGCACCAUUAGGCCUUCUACUUGUGUCCAUUUGAAGCAGGAGGGGCUGGAUUUGGAAAAGUCUUUGAAGUGAGAGCACCACGCUUGUCUUCGUUAGAAACUCUUAACUGCAGAAAAAAGUUCCAGAUGGCAAGGGAGCCCUUAAGUGGAGAUUAGGUUGCAUUAGACUCCAAAACCAGAAAGGAAAAAGGGUGAUGGGAGUGGAGACGUGAUUGGAUUCAGGCCCAGAACCUGUGACCAUGCUCUGAGCUCAGACUUGGGGAGGGAGGGGUGUGGCUCCCACCCCUUCCAGUUAAGACCUGCCUAGCAGAGCCCCAGUCUCCAGCCCCUUCCCUAGCACCAGAGUCUGGUCAAAAUGCCACAGAAAAUGAGCUGCUCUGCCAGCAAGCUGUGGAGCUGCCUCCUCUCCAGGCCUGGCAUCCCUUGGUCAGCCCCUCCUGGGAGGGCACAGCCGUAUUACAGUGCCAGUGUGCCUGGCCAUCAGCAUCUUCACCCUUCCCAGUCUGUGUGGGGAGGCUGUAAACCCCGUGGAUUCAGCUCCGUGUGGAGUUUCUGUGCUAUGGUGGGACUGCUCAUUUUGCCCCAUCAUCCCUUUGGCCUCCCACACACCUGCCCCUUCCCAGGGAUCACGUGUGUCUCCAGCCUUUCACCUUUCUAUUGCAAUGGUGGCCUUUGUCCAGGCAAGAGCAGGCCUGAUGGAUGUACUGGUGAGCCCCACAGUUGGAUGUCAGCUCAGCCGUCCAACUGGGAGGAACAGUAGGCUCAGUUCCUCCCUGACCCCUGACACCAGGCCGCAGUGGGCAUGCACAGGCCCACAGAAAGUCAGUCUGGGUUUUGCUUUUCUCGUGAGCAUCACAGUUAAAGAAGCGCUCAUUGAGCAACUACAGUGCACUUGGUCUUCUGCAAGUGCUGGGCACCUAGAGAUAGGAACAGUCAUGGUCCCUGCUCUUAAGGAACUGAUGACCUGGUGGGGCCCUGUUGUCUUCAAGGAACCCAGAAGCCACUGGGCCCCAAAGGUGGAACUGAAGGACUGGGGGCAGCUGGCUCUCAGCCUGCCACCUCUGCACUGCCUGCCUUUAAAGAACCCCACCCCACCCCAUGAUGGCCCCCUCUGUUCCCCUUGUAUUUCAGUGACUGUGAAUUGAGGUUAGGAAGGCACACCUGCCCUUCUGUGUGCUCUCUCCACACGAAGGAUGACAGAUACUGUGAAUUCAGCCCUCACGGCCAACUGUGAAGGGGAUGGAGAAGGCUGGGAGGGCUCGGGGAGAGCUCUUAGGGGCUGCGGAAGUCCCCACGGGGGUCUGAGAGUGGAGCCCAAGCUUUGGCCCUCCAGGCAUCCCCAGUUUCCAGCCUCACCUCUGAAGCCCUGCUGCCUUUAACCACCAGAGCCGCAGCCCCCUGGGUUUCUGUCUAACUCGAAGUCUUGAAUCCUAGCUAGUUUGGGGUUGUGAGCAGUGUGUAGCAAAGUUGAUCUCUCCAUGUCACCAAAUCAAAACACCCUCUGUCAUCCUACGGCAUUUCCUCUUGAGGUCACAGAGAGGAAUGGCAAGCCCUGGAAACCUGUGUUAUUCUGUGUUGAUUUGGUGUGGGGGGAGGGUGGAGACGUAAAUGUGAAGCCAGUUGGAGUUUGUGCUAUGCAGCAGUGUUAGCCAGGAUCUCAUCAGCGUGCAAACCUAGCAUCUUCUGUGGCCACAAGCCACACACUUGCUUUUUUUGAAUGUGAUGUAAAAUUUGUACAGUAAAGUUUUUAUAUUUUCUAUCAACUACAUUUGUCUUCCAGACAUGCUAUUAAUUUAAAUUAAAAUGGUUAGUAUUAACAAACAUGCUGUAUCGGGUUUUUUUGCCACUGGCAAGAACAUGCCCUCUGUGCUAAGCCAGGCCUGGGUGUCUGGAGUUUGUGAAUAAAGUUAUACCAAGGUG